AAUAGAUACCCUGGUAGUCCACGCCGUAAACGAUGAGUGCUAAGUGUUAGAGGGUUUCCGCCCUUUAGUGCUGCAGCUAACGCAUUAAGCACUCCGCCUGGGGAGUACGGUCGCAAGACUGAAACUCAAAGGAAUUGACGGGGGCCCGCACAAGCGGUGGAGCAUGUGGUUUAAUUCGAAGCAACGCGAAGAACCUUACCAGGUCUUGACAUCCUCUGACAACUCUAGAGAUAGAGCGUUCCCCUUCGGGGGACAGAGUGACAGGUGGUGCAUGGUUGUCGUCAGCUCGUGUCGUGAGAUGUUGGGUUAAGUCCCGCAACGAGCGCAACCCUUGAUCUUAGUUGCCAGCAUUCAGUUGGGCACUCUAAGGUGACUGCCGGUGACAAACCGGAGGAAGGUGGGGAUGACGUCAAAUCAUCAUGCCCCUUAUGACCUGGGCUACACACGUGCUACAAUGGAUGGUACAAAGGGCCGCAAGACCGCGAGGUCAAGCCAAUCCCAUAAAACCAUUCUCAGUUCGGAUUGU
rnacentral:rRNA from 1 species